rnacentral:rRNA from 1 species
AACGGCGAGUGAAGCGGUAACAGCUCAAAUUUGAAAUCUGGCCUCACGGUCCGAGUUGUAAUUUGUAGAGGAUGCUUCGAGCAUGGUCUGGCCUAAGUUCCUUGGAACAGGACGUCAUAGAGGGUGAGAAUCCCGUAUGCGGCCAGGUGCCUACGCUCAUGUGAAGCUCCUUCGACGAGUCGAGUUGUUUGGGAAUGCAGCUCAAAAUGGGUGGUAAAUUUCAUCUAAAGCUAAAUAUUGGCCAGAGACCGAUAGCGCACAAGUAGAGUGAUCGAAAGAUGAAAAGCACUUUGGAAAGAGAGUUAAACAGUACGUGAAAUUGUUGAAAGGGAAGCGCUUGCAACCAGACUUGCGCGCGGCCGAUCAUCCGGUGUUCUCACCGGUGCACUCGGCCGUGCUCAGGCCAGCAUCGGUUUUGGCGGCUGGAUAAAGGCCCUAGGAAUGUGGCUCCUCUCGGGGAGUGUUAUAGCCUAGGGUGCAAUGCAGCCUGCUGGGACCGAGGACCGCGCUUCGGCUAGGAUGCUGGCGUAAUGGUUGUAAGCGGCCCGUCUUGAAACACGGACCAAGGAGUCUAACAUCUAUGCGAGUGUUUGGGUGUCAAACCCAUACGCGUAAUGAAAGUGAACGGAGGUGAGAACCCUUAAGGGUGCAUCAUCGACCGGUCCUGAAGUUUACGGAAGGAUCUGAGUAAGAGCAUAGCUGUUGGG